rnacentral:rRNA from 1 species
GUGGGGAAUCUUAGACAAUGGGCGCAAGCCUGAUCUAGCCAUGCCGCGUGAGCGAUGAAGGCCUUAGGGUUGAAAAGCUCUUUCAGCUGGGAAGAUAAUGACGGUACCAGCAGAAGAAGCCCCGGCUAACUCCGUGCCAGCAGCCGCGGUAAUACGGAGGGGGCUAGCGUUGUUCGGAAUUACUGGGCGUAAAGCGCGCGUAGGCGGACCAGAAAGUUGGAGGUGAAAUCCCAGGGCUCAACCUUGGAACUGCCUUCAAAACUCCUGGUCUGGAGUUCGAGAGAGGUGAGUGGAAUUCCGAGUGUAGAGGUGAAAUUCGUAGAUAUUCGGAGGAACACCAGUGGCGAAGGCGGCUCACUGGCUCGAUACUGACGCUGAGGUGCGAAAGCGUGGGGAGCAAACAGGAUUAGAAACCCCGGUAGUCC